UGAAGAGGCCUCCCAGAAGCAGCCUGGGGUUCCUGAGACAGGUAGAGCUCCUCCAGGGAGCCAUGAUACAGCUUUGUCCCUGGAAAGAGAGACAGGCGGGGACAGAUACGACCUUGGGAAAAGUCGAGGAAUGCAGAGAACGGGAAGUGACAAGAGCCCCAGGCAGCUUGGAGCUAAGAGGGUACCUUGUGGAGGUUACCUGACGUUCCAGGGUCAGAAAGACCUGGAUGCUGGAGGAAGCCGGAGCUGGAUGCAGGAAGACCAUCAGGAGGAGGAGGAGGAACCAGGCCAAAAGAAGAACACAGGCAAAAGUACAGAGCUGAGGACCGAACCCAGGGCCUUGCGCUGCCUACCCAAGUGGUCUUCACGAUGUCACUCCUCUCCCUUUCUAAGGAGACUCCUGCACCCUGCACAGACACUGAUCCUGAAGCUGUCUGACAGUUCAGUGUCACUGCAGCCCAGCUGAUCUUUGCUGCUGCCUUUCCUGUCCCACGCAUGGCUGAUGCUCCUCUGCACCGUGAGGGUGAGGGAGGAACUUCCUCUGCCCGCCCGGUCCCUAAACCACAAAACCCCAUCUGAGCUGUGUCCUGUGCGUUUCCUUGGAGAUCUUACUCUCUCAGAUGGCCUCUGUAUCUGGCUACGCACUGUAUCUCCAGUCCAGAUCUUUCUCUGGCUCUCUGAUCUUAAUUGCUGUCCACCUAAAAACUCCACAAGUAUUUCACAGGAACUACAACUUCAGUUUGCACCAAAUUGAACAUUUCCCUACAAAUCUCUUUCUCUUCCUGUGAGGGUUUGUGUAUGUUUGGCCCAGGAAGUGACACUAUUAGGAGGUGUGGCCUACACCUUAUUGGAGUAGGUGUGUCUCUGUGGGUGUGAGCUUUAAGACCUCAUCCUAGCUGCCUGGAAGUCAGUCUUCUGUUAGCAACCUUCAGAUGAAGAUGUAGAACUCUCAGCUCCUCCUGCACCAUGCCUGCCUGGAUGCUGCCAUGUUCCCACCUUGAUGAUAAUAGACUGAAACUCUGAACCUGUGAGCCAGCCCCAAUUAAAUGUUGUCCUUAUAAGA